CAAGUCGAACGGUGAACUCCGCUUGCGGGGGGAGUCAGUGGCGAACGGGUGAGUAACACGUGGGCAACCUGCCCUCAGCUCUGGGAUAACUCCAAGAAAUUGGGGCUAAUACUGGAUACGACCGCUGACCGCAUGGUCUGGUGGUGGAAAGAUUUAUCGGCUGGGGAUGGGCCCGCGGCCUAUCAGCUUGUUGGUGGGGUAGUGGCCUACCAAGGCGACGACGGGUAGCCGGCCUGAGAGGGUGACCGGCCACACUGGGACUGAGACACGGCCCAGACUCCUACGGGAGGCAGCAGUGGGGAAUAUUGCGCAAUGGGCGAAAGCCUGACGCAAGCGACGCCGCGUGGGGGAUGACGGCCUUCGGGUUGUAAACCUCUUUCAGCAGGGACGAAGCGAAAGUGACGGUACCUGCAGAAGAAGCACCGGCCAACUACGUGCCAGCCGCAGC
rnacentral:rRNA from 1 species